rnacentral:rRNA from 1 species
CCUACGGGAGGCAGCAGUAGGGAAUCUUCCACAAUGGGCGAAAGCCUGAUGGAGCAACGCCGCGUGGGUGAAGAAGGUCUUCGGAUCGUAAAACCCUGUUGUUAGAGAAGAAAGUGCGUGAGAGUAACUGUUCACGUUUCGACGGUAUCUAACCAGAAAGCCACGGCUAACUACGUGCCAGCAGCCGCGGUAAUACGUAGGUGGCAAGCGUUAUCCGGAUUUAUUGGGCGUAAAGGGAACGCAGGCGGUCUUUUAAGUCUGAUGUGAAAGGCUUCGGCUUAACCGGGGUAGUGCAUUGGAAACUGGGAGACUUGAGUGCAGAAGAGGAGAGUGGAAGUCCAUGUGUAGCGGUGAAAUGCGUAGAUAUAUGGAAGAACACCAGUGGCGAAAGCGGCUCUCUGGUCUGUAACUGACGCUGAGGUUCGAAAGCGUGGGUAGCAAACAGGAUUAGAUACCCUAGUAGUC